rnacentral:rRNA from 1 species
UACAGAGGUCCCAAGCGUUGUUCGGAUUCAUUGGGCGUAAAGGGUGCGUAGGCGGCGCGGUAAGUCGAGUGUGAAAUCUUGGGGCUUAACUCCGAAACUGCAUUCGAUACUGCCGUGCUUGAGGACUGGAGAGGAGACUGGAAUUUACGGUGUAGCGGUGAAAUGCGUAGAUAUCGUAAGGAAGACCAGUGGCGAAGGCGGGUCUCUGGACAGUUCCUGACGCUGAGGCACGAAGGUCAGGGGAGCAAACGGG